GGAAGGAUCAUUAUCGUACAACGGAGGUGCGAAGGCUGUCGCUGACCCUUUAAAGGUCGUGCACGCCGGAGUGCUCUCCUUUAUACAAUCCACCCUUUCACCCAUUUGUGCAUCACCGCGUGAGUCCCCUCGAAAAGGGGCUUGCGUUUUUCCACACACAAAACUUUGAAGCGGUGUAGAAUGUUCUUUUAUGUUUUGCGGUUACAUGCAAUCAAUACAACUUUCAACAACGGAUCUCUUGGCUCUCGCAUCGAUGAAGAACGCAGCGAAAUGCGAUACGUAAUGUGAAUUGCAGAAUUCAGUGAAUCAUCGAAUCUUUGAACGCACCUUGCGCCCCUUGGCAUUCCGAGGGGCACACCCGUUUGAGUGUCGUGAAAUCCUCAAAACCCUUCUUCUUUUAGAAAAGGAUUUUGGACUUGGAGGGUCAAUGCUUGCUUUUGCUUUUAUUGAUAAAAGCGAGCUCCUCUCAAAUGGAUUAGUGGGGUCCUGCUUUGCAGAUCCUUGACGUGAUAAGACAUUUCUACGUUUUGGACUCGGCAACCGUACCCUGCUUCUAACCGUCCCGUUCGUUGUGGACGACGAUGGUGCUCUGGUCAAAACCACCGACAUCGGUGGGGAUGGCUGGACCCACAAAAAGAAAGACCUUGACCUCAAAUCGGGUGAGACUACCCGCCGAACUUAAGCAUAUCAAUAAGCGGAGGAAAAGAAACUAACAAGGAUUCCCCUAGUAACUGCGAGUGAAGCGGGAAAAGCUCAAAUUUAAAUCUGGUGGUCUUUGACCACCCGAGUUGUAAUUUAGAGAAGCGACUUCCGCGCUGGACCGUGCACAAGUCUCCUGGAAUGGAGCGUCAUAGAGGGUGAGAAUCCCGUCUUUGGCACGGAUGCACCAGGCUUU
rnacentral:rRNA from 1 species